UCAAGAUCAAGAAUGAUGAAAGC
rnacentral:piRNA from 1 species